UUCUCAGUUUCGUAUUGUUUUGCUGGUGGUUGCUUGCUAACUUUUAGGACUUGAUCAGAAGAAGGUAUUUGAUGUCCUCUACUAGAUAGCAGACAUCCCUUCUUGGAAGCUUACAAGAUCAAGAUAAUUCUUGAAGAGAUGGAUUUCCUUAGUGUUCUUCAAAUGAUUCCUUCAUGUUUUCAACUAGCAAUGACAUAAUUAUCUGAGGCCUGAUAUCAAGAGAGGAAAAUUCUCCAGUGUAGAAGAGUGGAUC